GACGAAGGGGGCUAGCGUUGCUCGGAAUCACUGGGCGUAAAGCGCACGUAGGCGGGUCGUUAAGUCGGGGGUGAAAUCCUGGAGCUCAACUCCAGAACUGCCUUCGAUACUGGCGACCUUGAGUCCGGGAGAGGUGAGUGGAACUCCGAGUGUAGAGGUGAAAUUCGUAGAUAUUCGGAAGAACACCAGUGGCGAAGGCGGCUCACUGGCCCGGUACUGACGCUGAGGUGCGAAAGCGUGGGGAGCAAACAGG
rnacentral:rRNA from 1 species